GGGUUGUGAGGUUAAGCGACUAAGCGUACACGGUGGAUGCCCUGGCAGUCAGAGGCGAUGAAGGGCGNNNUCGUCACACUAUCAUUAACUGAAUCCAUAGGUUAAUGAGGCGAACCGGGGGAACUGAAACAUCUAAGUACCCCGAGGAAAAGAAAUCAACCGAGAUUCCCCCAGUAGCGGCGAGCGAACGGGGAGGAGCCCAGAGCCUGAAUCAGCAUGUGUGUUAGUGGAAGCGUCUGGAAAGGCGCGCGAUACAGGGUGACAGCCCCGUACACAAAAGCGCAUGUGCUGUGAGCUCGAUGAGUAGGGCGGGACACGUGGUAUCCUGUCUGAAUAUGGGGGGACCAUCCUCCAAGGCUAAAUACUCCUGACUGACCGAUAGUGAACCAGUACCGUGAGGGAAAGGCGAAAAGAACCCCGGCGAGGGGAGUGAAAAAGAACCUGAAACCGUGUACGUACAAGCAGUGGGAGCNNNNNNNNNNNNNNNNNNNNNNNNNNNNNNNNNGGGCGUUAAGUUGCAGGGUAUAGACCCGAAACCCGGUGAUCUAGCCAUGGGCAGGUUGAAGGUUGGGUAACACUAACUGGAGGACCGAACCGACUAAUGUUGAAAAAUUAGCGGAUGACCUGUGGCUGGGGGUGAAAGGCCAAUCAAACCGGGAGAUAGCUGGUUCUCCCCGAAAGCUAUUUAGGUAGCGCCUCGUGAAUUCAUCUCCGGGGGUAGAGCACUGUUUCGGCUAGGGGGCCAUCCCGGCUUACCAACCCGAUGCAAACUGCGAAUACCGGAGAAUGUUAUCACGGGAGACACACGGCGGGUGCUAACGUCCGUCGUGAAGAGGGAAACAACCCAGACCGCCAGCUAAGGUCCCAAAGUCAUGGUUAAGUGGGAAACGAUGUGGGAAGGCCCAGACAGCCAGGAUGUUGGCUUAGAAGCAGCCAUCAUUUAAAGAAAGCGUAAUAGCUCACUGGUCGAGUCGGCCUGCGCGGAAGAUGUAACGGGGCUAAACCAUGCACCGAAGCUGCGGCAGCGACACUGUGUGUUGUUGGGUAGGGGAGCGUUCUGUAAGCCUGCGAAGGUGGCCUGUGAGGGUUGCUGGAGGUAUCAGAAGUGCGAAUGCUGACAUAAGUAACGAUAAAGCGGGUGAAAAGCCCGCUCGCCGGAAGACCAAGGGUUCCUGUCCAACGUUAAUCGGGGCAGGGUGAGUCGACCCCUAAGGCGAGGCCGAAAGGCGUAGUCGAUGGGAAACGGGUUAAUAUUCCCGUACUUGGUGUUACUGCGAAGGGGGGACGGAGAAGGCUAUGUUGGCCGGGCGACGGUUGUCCCGGUUUAAGCGUGUAGGUGUGUGUUCCAGGUAAAUCCGGUUCACUUUAACACUGAGGCGUGACGACGAGGCACUACGGUGCUGAAGCAACAAAUGCCCUGCUUCCAGGAAAAGCCUCUAAGCAUCAGGUAACAUCAAAUCGUACCCCAAACCGACACAGGUGGUCAGGUAGAGAAUACCAAGGCGCUUGAGAGAACUCGGGUGAAGGAACUAGGCAAAAUGGUGCCGUAACUUCGGGAGAAGGCACGCUGACACGUAGGUGAAGUGAUUUACUCAUGGAGCUGAAGUCAGUCGAAGAUACCAGCUGGCUGCAACUGUUUAUUAAAAACACAGCACUGUGCAAACACGAAAGUGGACGUAUACGGUGUGACGCCUGCCCGGUGCCGGAAGGUUAAUUGAUGGGGUCAGCGCAAGCGAAGCUCCUGAUCGAAGCCCCGGUAAACGGCGGCCGUAACUAUAACGGUCCUAAGGUAGCGAAAUUCCUUGUCGGGUAAGUUCCGACCUGCACGAAUGGCGUAAUGAUGGCCAGGCUGUCUCCACCCGAGACUCAGUGAAAUUGAACUCGCUGUGAAGAUGCAGUGUACCCGCGGCAAGACGGAAAGACCCCGUGAACCUUUACUAUAGCUUGACACUGAACAUUGAGCCUUGAUGUGUAGGAUAGGUGGGAGGCUUUGAAGUGUGGACGCCAGUCUGCAUGGAGCCGACCUUGAAAUACCACCCUUUAAUGUUUGAUGUUCUAACGUGGACCCGUUACCCGGGUUGCGGACAGUGUCUGGUGGGUAGUUUGACUGGGGCGGUCUCCUCCUAAAGAGUAACGGAGGAGCACGAAGGUUGGCUAAUCCUGGUCGGACAUCAGGAGGUUAGUGCAAUGGCAUAAGCCAGCUUGACUGCGAGCGUGACGGCGCGAGCAGGUGCGAAAGCAGGUCAUAGUGAUCCGGUGGUUCUGAAUGGAAGGGCCAUCGCUCAACGGAUAAAAGGUACUCCGGGGAUAACAGGCUGAUACCGCCCAAGAGUUCAUAUCGACGGCGGUGUUUGGCACCUCGAUGUCGGCUCAUCACAUCCUGGGGCUGAAGUAGGUCCCAAGGGUAUGGCUGUUCGCCAUUUAAAGUGGUACGCGAGCUGGGUUUAGAACGUCGUGAGACAGUUCGGUCCCUAUCUGCCGUGGGCGCUGGAGAACUGAGGGGGGCUGCUCCUAGUACGAGAGGACCGGAGUGGACGCAUCACUGGUGUUCGGGUUGUCAUGCCAAUGGCACUGCCCGGUAGCUAAAUGCGGAAGAGAUAAGUGCUGAAAGCAUCUAAGCACGAAACUUGCCCCGAGAUGAGUUCUCCCUGAGACUUAGAGUCUCCUGAAGGAACGUUGAAGACGACGACGUUGAUAGGCCGGGUGUGUAAGCGCAGCGAUGCGUUGAGCUAACCGGUACUAAUGAACCGUGAGGCUUAACCUUACAACGCCGAAG
rnacentral:rRNA from 1 species